rnacentral:rRNA from 1 species
GGACCCGCACAAGCGGUGGAGCAUGUGGUUUAAUUCGAUGCAACGCGAAAAAACCUUACCUAUACUUGACAUACUUGGAAUGCUUUGUAAUGAGAGUGUGCCUUUUUGGAACCAAGAUACAGGUGCUGCAUGGCUGUCGUCAGCUCGUGUCGUGAGAUGUUCCGUUAAGUCGGAUAACGAGCGCAACCCUUACCCCUUAUUUGCCAGCGAUUCGGUCGGGAACUAUAAGGGGACUGCCGGUGAUAAACCGGAGGAAGGUGAGGACGACGUCAAGUCAUCAUGGCCCUUACGAGUAGGGCUACACACGUGCUACAAUGGGGAAUACAGACGGACGCUAAGCCGCGAGGUGGUG